rnacentral:lncRNA from 1 species
GUUGUGCUACAUUUUGCUGGAGAUUAAGCUGACCAAAUCCUCGCUGCUGCUAUUACUCUUACACCACAAGUUCUUCUCCCACAAUUUUAAGCAGGGAAAGUGAUUCUUGGAUAGCUGGUGGAACAAGCUCUGUAAGGGCAGAACAGCCCAAAGAACAGAGCAGACAACAGCCAAGUUCAACCAAAGAUGACAUAGAACCUUUUCUGU